GAUGAACGCUGGCGGCGUGCCUAAUACAUGCAAGUCGAGCGAACAGACGAGGAGCUUGCUCCUCUGACGUUAGCGGCGGACGGGUGAGUAACACGUGGAUAACCUACCUAUAAGACUGGGAUAACUUCGGGAAACCGGAGCUAAUACCGGAUAAUAUAUUGAACCGCAUGGUUCAAUAGUGAAAGACGGUUUUGCUUUCACUUAUAGAUGGAUCCGCGCCGCAUUAGCUAGUUGGUAAGGUAACGGCUUACCAAGGCAACGAUGCGUAGCCGACCUGAGAGGGUGAUCGGCCACACUGGAACUGAGACACGGUCCAGACUCCUACGGGAGGCAGCAGUAGGGAAUCUUCCGCAAAGGGCGAAAGCCUGACGGAGCAACGCCGCGUGAGUGAUGAAGGUCUUCGGAUCGUAAAACUCUGUUAUUAGGGAAGAACAAAUGUGUAAGUAACUAUGCACGUCUUGACGGUACCUAAUCAGAAAGCCACGGCUAACUACGUG
rnacentral:rRNA from 1 species